rnacentral:rRNA from 1 species
GCGGCAAACGGGUGAGUAAUAUCUGGGAAUCUACCCAAAAGAGGGGGAUAACUACUAGAAAUGGUAGCUAAUACCGCAUAAAGUUGAAAAACCAAAGUGGGGGACCUUUUAGGCCUCACGCUUUUGGAUGAGCCCAGACGAGAUUAGCUUGUUGGUAAGGUAAAAGCUUACCAAGGCUACGAUCUCUAGCUGGUCUGAGAGGAUAACCAGCCACACUGGAACUGAGACACGGUCCAGACUCCUACGGGAGGCAGCAGUGGGGAAUAUUGCACAAUGGGCGAAAGCCUGAUGCAGCUAUGCCGCGUGUAUGAAGAAGGCCUUAGGGUUGUAAAGUACUUUCAGCGGGGAGGAAAAAAAUAAAACUAAUAAUUUUAU